rnacentral:rRNA from 1 species
UUAAUUGAAGAGUUUGAUCAUGGCUCAGAUUGAACGCUGGCGGCAGGCCUAACACAUGCAAGUCGAGCGGUAACAGAAAGGAAGCUUGCUUUCUUUGCUGACGAGCGGCGGACGGGUGAGUAAUGCCUGGGAAUAUACCCUGAUGUGGGGGAUAACUAUUGGAAACGAUAGCUAAUACCGCAUAAUCUCUUCGGAGCAAAGAGGGGGACCUUCGGGCCUCUCGCGUCAGGAUUAGCCCAGGUGGGAUUAGCUAGUUGGUGGGGUAAUGGCUCACCAAGGCGACGAUCCCUAGCUGGUCUGAGAGGAUGAUCAGCCACAC